GUCAGGAUGGCCGAGCGGUCUAAGGCGCCAGACUCAAGAUCAACUUCUUACACAAUAUUGGAGUUCUGGUCUCCACAUGGAGGUGUGGGUUCAAAUCCCACUUCUGACA
rnacentral:tRNA from 1 species